rnacentral:lncRNA from 12 species
CGACUUUUCAGAGAGAAUGUGAAUACAUUUGGUAUGUACUAAAAAGCUGGAAGCCCCUAAGUAAACGCAGUAUCCAUAGGAAGGGAGUUUCUUGAAGAGUCACCUGCUAAACUCCACUAGCGUCAUCUUUGCAAUUGCUAUGAGAGUGACUACCCAACAAUGUUGGUGUAAUGGAAGACAUUACAGUCUCAAGGAAUAAUUGGUUGAGAGUCAUGAAAGUAAGGAUGCUCUUAGGGUCAGCUGGAUAUGAGUCUAGUCACUUCAAGUAUCACUCUACCUGGGACCUGUGUGAAGGCGCUGAAUGUACCUAAGGCAGAGUCUUUUCAAAAUGAAUGACAGGAGACAAGAGGCCAUGUUAAACCACACAGACACACAAAAAACCUCUUCUUGGAUGUGGUUUAUGUUGUCCCUAUGAAUCAAAGGCCCAAACCAAUGGUCAGAGGGAAUAUACUUUAUCCACAGGGAAGUCACAGAAAGAGAGGGAAUGGAAGGAAGACCUGUGACCUGAUGAUGGCAUCAACGAAUCAUAAGCCCGCAUGCUAUGGAUGUUCUUAUAAUUCAGAUUCACAACUAAUCUGGAAAAUGUAUUUGGAGUGAACUGAAUGUUCUAUGCUGUAUGAACCCAUCUUGCAAUUGAUCCUGGAUUUGAAGCUGACAGCUGUGAACUAGCAGGAAAAUGAUGUGGCAAGAGUUGCUAUUCCUGAAGAGAAUUCAAAGAAUGUUCUAUUUGGGCAAAUUGUAAUUCAUGACUCACUCAGCACAAAUUUUUAUCUUCUUAGUCCCUUUGAGCCACAUGGAUUUCAAAGUACAAUACAUAUUACAUAUAAAAUAAAUAUACACAUAUACAUGUAUACA